rnacentral:lncRNA from 1 species
ACAGUACUAGUAUAUCAGAGGGUUGUUGAUUUGGUUGAAGGAGAAAUCAUAGUGGAGGGGUGUAUUUGGCCCUUUUCCGUUCUUCAUACUGGGUUAACUCCAUGUUUCUAUGAUUUUGCUGCUGCUUUGCCUUAAAAAGAAGGCACGCAAGAGCAAAGUAGUCACAGAUACAGAUACAAAAGGGUUGUUGACUGGAGCUAA